rnacentral:rRNA from 1 species
UCCGGUGUCUAUAGAGAGGGAGAAACACCCGUUCCCAUUCCGAACACGGAAGUUAAGGACCUCAUCGGCGAUGGUACUGCAUAUUUGACUGUGGGAGAGUAGCACGAUGCCGGAU